CUUGUACUCCCUCCGUCCGAAAAUACUUGUCAUUGAAAUGGAUGUAUCUAGAUGUAUUUUAGUUCUAGACACAUCCAUUUUGAUGACAAGUAAUUCCGGACGGAGGGCGUACUUG
rnacentral:pre_miRNA from 1 species